GAAAAGGAGAAUAUUUUGUACUGGUAGUAAGAACUUUUGCAUAAUUUGUUAAAUGUAUAUAUUUUAUAGGAUAACAUAUCUUUAUUUAAACUUGCUCUCUGUUUCCAUCGACCUAGCUAGCUUUAAUGUAUACAGAGCUUCUGUUGAGUUAAAAUAAAAAUCUGUACUUCACUUUGAAAACUAUGAGUGAGAAAAGAUAAUUGUACAUGCUAACAAAUUCUUGAAAUGCCAAACAUUUUGUUUAAAAGUGUUUUGAUGAGUUUAUUUAUUCUUUCAUUUGUUGUGACCUAGAUAGUCAGGAGUCAAGUGCCAAUGCCAUUACGAUAUGGGGCUUUUCCCACAGAGCACAGGGUACAGAAUAUGAAAUAAAUUUCUCUGUUUGUGUAUGUAAGUUCUAGUAGAUAAAAGUUGAUAUAAUCAAAUCUGUGAAUUUAUAAAACUUGGUCACGUGUGCAUAAAAUACCAUACAAUUGUCAUUAGUUAUUGAAUAAAUAAUGAUAAAACAUUU
rnacentral:misc_RNA from 1 species